rnacentral:ribozyme from 14 species
AAGUCGAAACAACAAAGAAAAAAGGAAAAAGAAAACCGUCGCCCAAGAUUCACACCCUCCUUUUCGUUGUUGUUCUUGCCCGCUUCUUCUUCCUU